UACGGAGGGAGCUAGCGUUGUUCGGAAUUACUGGGCGUAAAGCGCACGUAGGCGGCUUUGUAAGUUAGAGGUGAAAGCCCGGGGCUCAACUCCGGAACUGCCUUUAAGACUGCAUCGCUUGAGUCCGAGAGAGGAUGGCGGAAUUCCUAGUGUAGAGGUGAAAUGCGUAGAUAUCGGGAGGAACACCUGAGGCGAAGGCGGGCUACUGGGCCGAUACUGACGCUGAUGCGCGAAAGCCAGGGGAGCGAACGGG
rnacentral:rRNA from 1 species